AAAUUUACCUGGCAAGGGAGAUACUGUGAUCACGAAGGUGGUUUUCCCAGGGCGAGGCUUAUCCAUUGCAUUUUGGAUGUGCUGACACCUGCAAUUUUCCCAAAUAUGGUAAACUCAGCUGCAUAAUUUGUGGUAGUGGGGGACUGCGUUUGCACUUUCCCUGG